GAUGAAGAACGCAGCGAAAUGCGAUAAGUAAUGUGAAUUGCAGAAUUCAGUGAAUCAUCGAAUCUUUGAACGCACAUUGCGCCCGUCAGUAUUCUGGCGGGCAUGCCUGUCUGGGCGUCAUUUCAACCCUCAUGCCCCUAGGGCGUGGUGUUGGGGAUCGGCCAAAGCCCGCGAGGGACGGCCGGCCCCUAAAUCUAGAGGCGGACCCGUCGUGGCCUCCUCUGCGAAGUAGUGAUAUUCCGCAUCGGAGAGCGAUGAGCCCCUGCCGUUAAACCCCCAACUUUCCAAGGUUGACCUCAGAUCAGGUAGGAAUACCCGCUGAACUUAAGCAUAUCAAUAAGCGGAGGA
rnacentral:misc_RNA from 1 species